AACGAACGCUGGCGGCGCGUCUUAAGCAUGCAAGUCGAACGGUAAGGGAGAGCUUGCUCUCCCCUAGAGUGGCGGACUGGUGAGUAACGCGUGGGUGACCUGCCCUGAAGAUGGGGAUAGCUAGUAGAAAUAUUAGAUAAUACCGAAUGUGCUCAUUUACAUAAAGGUAAAUGAGGAAAGGAGCUACGGCUCCGCUUUAGGAUAAACCCAAGGUCCCAUUAGCUGGUUGGUGAGGUAAAGGCUCACCAAGGCAACGAUGGGUAUCCGGCCUGAGAGGGUGAACGGACACAUUGGGACUGAGAUACGGCCCAAACUCCUACGGGAGGCAGCAGCUAAGAAUCUUCCGCAAUGGACGAAAGUCUGACGGAGCGACGCCGUGUGAAUGAAGAAGGCCGAAUGCCUGUGAGAUGACGGUAAUCAUGCGAAUAAGCCCCGGCUAAUUACGUGCCAGCAGCCGCGGUAACACGUAAGGGGCGAGCGUUGUUCGGAAUUAUUGGGCGUAAAGGGUAUGUAGGCGGUUAGGUAAGCCUGGUGUGAAAUCUACGAGCUCAACUCGUAAACUGCAUUGGGUACUGCUUGACUUGAAUCACGGAGGGGAAACCGGAAUUCCAAGUGUAGGGGUGGAAUCUGUAGAUAUUUGGAAGAACACCGGUGGCGAAGGCGGGUUUCUGGCCGAUGAUUGACGCUGAUAUACGAAGGUGCGGGGAGCAAACAGGAUUAGAUACCCUGGUAGUCCGCACAGUAAACGAUGUACACUAGGUGUCGGGGCAAGAGCUUCGGUGCCGACGCAAACGCAUUAAGUGUACCGCCUGGGAAGUAUGCCCGCAAGGGUGAAACUCAAAGGAAUUGACGGGGGCCCACACAAGCGGUGGAGCAUGUGGUUUAAUUCGAUGAUACGCGAGAAACCUUACCUGGGUUUGACAUCAAGAGCAAUGACAUAGAGAUAUGGCAGCGUAGCAAUACGGCUCUUGACAGGUGCUGCAUGGCUGUCGUCAGCUCGUGCCGUGAGGUGUUGGGU
rnacentral:rRNA from 1 species